AGAAGUCUAAGCCUAAAGUCAUCAUGGUUGAGGUUGAUAGUAUAUCUGCUGGUGAUAGCGGUGGAGCUGCUGAUCUUAUUGCAAGAUUCCUAUAGUUUGCAUUUGUAAUGGCAGUUAUAGCAGGAAGCUGAAGAGCACUAUAAAUUACCUAUUUGGUACUCAACUUCAGGAAACCAACAAAUUAGCAGGUCAUUUCAUGCCACCAUAUUCUGAUGAUUUAUGAAAGACAUGAUUAGUUUUCUUACUGUUCUCUGUUAUAUCCUUAUUACCCUUACUGCUGACUGUGACAACUAACAUGCUGUUCUCAAUUGCUUUCUGGGACUCAUUUUAUCAGAUACAAGUCCGCUUGCAAUUUUUGGGAGAAUAAACAGUUCCUUUGGGUUCAUCGCUCGGUUUUGUCCCUGCUAUGCUUACUGCUCCUACAUGGCUCUUCAGGGUUAUGGAUGGAGUGCGUUAUUUCGACGGUCCUCUAUUUUUUUUGUUGCGUGUGCCUUCAGGUCCAUCAGGUAUAAUUGUGCUUCACCUCCCUUUCGUUGUUUUCUUUUAUCUUGGUGUUUUCUCUUUUGUUUAAUUCAUUGUUGUAUCGCUCAAGGGCAUCUUGAUUAGUUUGAAUUGUGCUUUUUUAGCUAGAUGAAUUUAUAAAUGGUUGCCCUUUUCUGUUGAUUAAGUGUCUAUGUGCAGAGGUUCAUCUCCCCCUUUUCAUUCUGCGGCAUUUGUUUUUCACUUAGUUUACAUAUGUUUGUGUCUGGUAAUGUACUCUUCCUCAUGGAUUCUUUGGGUUCAUGUUCUUUCAGUGCUUUAGGAAUCUUCAGUUCCAAUGGAAAAUAGGAUGUAUCAUGCAUGCAAAGAUGAGAGGAUAGUUGAUCCAAUUUCCUUGUGCUACAAAGUUAUUUGCCAUAUUCUUAUUUUUUAAAUGUGGAAUGCACAGCUUGGUUCACAGCUACUUAAUCUUGAAAAAUAAAAGGAAAAUAAUUUUGAGGGAAAAUAUAAAUCUAAACCAAUAAGGAGGCUGGGAUGAUAUUUGGAUUAAACAACAAGCUUGCUACAGCCAGUCAAGUGCUCAGUGACAAUUAGCUUGUGGACUGGUUCUUUAGUACCUGGUUAGAUCUCAUGUGUGCUAAAGGAGAAGAUUGGAUAAACCCAUGAGUUUGAAGCUCAGCUCCAUAAAUAUUUCCCCCUUGGUCAUUUAUGUACAUAACGGUGUGAUACGACACCUAUAGAAAUUGCUACUGAUACUUGGAAGGUCAUAUUUACACUAAUAUGCAGAUGCGGCUUUAUCAUUUUGAACCAUGUAUCAUGUUAGCGUACUGUUAUUAUCUUGUUUAUCCAUUCUUCUUUGUGUAAACUUCAGAGAUAUCUGUAUUAUAGUGAAAGAAUCACUGAACUGUUCACUUGAAACUCUUUGAAACUUUGAGAGCAGUGUUUAUUUACCUUACUUAGCAAUUGUAAGGGUAUCAUGUUAAACUACUUGCUGAAAUUCUGUAUUCUAUUACUAUUAAAGGUCACCCGCAGGCAGAUCAUUCCAGUACCACUCUACCGGUGUUUGGCCUGAAUCUGAAUAAUUAAAUCUCAAAACACAGUUACACAACAUAAGUUGGAAGUAAUGUGAGCUUGCUUGUUCGGUUAUGCUUGAUAUAUGAUGCCAAGAUUCGUCUUUGUCUCCUCUGUGCACCCAUCGUCUUCUAACCUCCUCUCAUCAUCAGGUAUAAGGCGAGUUGUGUCCCUGGUAGAGGUGCAGAUCAAGGAGGUCAACAAAUGGGAUGAUGUUGGGUGACGUUCACUAAGGAGGAAAAAGGUGUAGGGGUCGUUGUUUUUUUGGCGAUGGCAGCGGCAUACUUCCUUGAGCGAAGAAAGGAAUCCCCAGCCUGAAGCUUCGCACAGGUAUGUCUGAGCGUCUUAUUUGUUAGUGUUGCCAGCUCUGGGAAAUGCAUGCCGAGUAGUUGUUGGCUUGUUGCAUGUAUGUUAUUGCUACAGUAUUAAUUUUUUUUGCUGAGAAUACAAACUGUGAAGCCACUAUUUUCAUACUGUAUGUUAUUGCACAGGUAUGUCUGAGCGUCUUAUUCUCACAACAGUUAAUUCUAAGGCCAUUCAUAUCAUUGCAGAUUUUGCCUAUUCUCUGAGAUGGAUGAUGAUGAGCGGUGCAACCGAAAAUUCAGAGCUGAGCUUUACACACUUCAGUGGGUAAGUGAAGUUCCAGUUAAUCUUCUUUCCCCUAUUACCGCUCUAUUGUACAGAGAGCACUGAGUUUACAUUAGCUAAAUGUUAGAUUGGAAUGCAGGAGUGGCAUGACAACACCAAGGUAGAGACCUGAAGAGAAGCACAGGGACAGACCAAGGAAACUAGAACCACGCUGUCGUGAUGUGGGCCGUGUCGUCUUCGUCCAUCUCCAUGGAGGUAUAUAUAAAUAUAUAGGUUAGGUAUAGGAAAUGAGACCAUCUCCAUGGAACUCUGACUGAUGUGUAAUGUCCUCAUAGGACCUGACCGACCAAACUAAACAUUCACUCAUAUUUUUCAUUUUCUCACUUAUCAUUAAUACGAAUUUUUUUGUUUAAAACUUAAAAGUCAAACCUGGAUUUACCGCUUGUGUCUACUCCAGUGUGUUAUAUUCUUCAGAAUGUCUUUAUGAGCAAGAACGGAUCAAUCAUAAAUUUUCAGAACAUCUCUAUUGAGUUUUUCCCUUCUAUAUCCUAUCUUCUCAGCACUUCUAGAAAG
rnacentral:lncRNA from 1 species